rnacentral:rRNA from 1 species
AACGAACGCUGGCGGCAGGCUUAACACAUGCAAGUCGAGCGCCCCGCAAGGGGAGCGGCAGACGGGUGAGUAACGCGUGGGAAUCUACCCAUCACUACGGAGCAACUCCGGGAAACUGGAGCUAAUACCGUAUACGUCCUUCGGGGGAAAGAUUUAUCGGUGAUGGAUGAGCCCGCGGUGGAUUAGCUAGUUGGUGGGGUAAUGGCCUACCAAGGCGACGAUCCAUAGCUGGUCUGAGAGGAUGGUCAGCCACACUGGGACUGAGACACGGCCCAGACUCCUACGGGAGGCAGCAGUGGGGAAUAUUGGACAAUGGGCGAAAGCCUGAUCCAGCCAUGCCGCGUGAGUGAUGAAGGCCCUAGGGUUGUAAAGCUCUUUCGCAGGUGAAGAUAAUGACGGUAACCUGAGAAGAAGCCCCGGCUAACUUCGUGCCAGCCGCCGCCGUAACAC